CGCGGAGAUUUGGGCACCACACAAACAAGGAAUUCAUUGUCAGGGAUGGAGAUUGGAGUUGGCCUAAAGGUAAAAACUGUGUGAGUUCUGGGAUGCGGAAGAGAAGCAGCGGUCAUUAUAUUCUGAAGGUUAUUGUCAGACCCAGGGGUGCUGCUGGGUGCCAGUUUGUUCUUGCUCUUCCUGCCUUCCUGAUACUGGCCUUGCCCAUCAAAAGUGACCUCAGGUCUCCACUGGAUGCUUGGCUGACAACUCAGAGAGGUGGCAGCUAUGAAGGGCCAGCAACCUUCCUUAGCCUUCGUGGUCUCAUCCCAAGAGCAGGACGUACUGGCUCCCUGCAAGUUCUGACACGUUCGUGACUUUAUUUCUGCUCCUUCAACUACAUUUUUUGGAUCUUUAUCUUCCCAGCUCUUCCCACAGUCGUCACAGAUCAGUGCAGCACUGACACUUCGUUAUCCCAGAGCACAUUGUCCUGCCUGGACCCUCUGGAUGUGAGGACCCCUUCAUGGAAUUACCAUCGUAUAUCCAAUGGUCAGUAAUGUGAAUUGCGAUGCUAGUUCUUAAGCUUCCUUUGGGGGUGAUAUGAAUGGUUUACCCCUUUUCUUGCAAGAUACCAGCUUUACCUGGAAAGGAGCAGAGAUGCCACUCUUGUAGGCUAAACAGGGUUUGGUGUGUCUGCACUGAGUGGCAGGUAGUCUGGCGUACACAUUGCUGUGCAGCAGACCCUGGUGACCAGCUUGUCAAGAAAGCUGUGCUUGAUUGAUGUGCACAGGAGGUAAGCAAGAGGUUGUGUCCUUACUUGCUAUGAACUCUGCAAUCUUGUCUGAAAAGCUGAUUCUAGGACCUUUGCCUAUGUGAGAUUUAAUCCUAAGUCAGAUGGUAC